rnacentral:rRNA from 1 species
AGCUCCAAUAGCGUAUAUUAAAGUUGUUGCAGUUAAAAAGCUCGUAGUUGGAUUUCUGGUGUGAUGCCCUGGCCCGUGCCUCAUUUGGUACGUGUGCCGGCUGUGCGUCCGCCAUCCUUCUAGAAAACGUGCCUACUCUUCACUGAGACGGGUUACGCGAUCUAGAUCUUUUACUUUGAAAAAAUUAGAGUGUUUAAGGCAGGCUUUUGCUAUGAAUACAUUAGCAUGGAAUAAUAAUCUAGGACUUCGGUUCUAUUUUGUUGGUUUCUAGUACUGAAGUAAUGAUUGAUAGGGAUAGUUGGGGGUGCUAGUAUUGAGCGGCCAGAGGUGAAAUUCUUGGAUUCGCUCAAGACUAACUUAUGCGAAAGCAUUCACCAAGGAUGUCUUCU